rnacentral:rRNA from 1 species
CCUACGGGUGGCAGCAGUGGGGAAUAUUGGACAAUGGGGGCAACCCUGAUCCAGCCAUGCCGCGUGUGUGAAGAAGGCCCUCGGGUUGUAAAGCACUUUCAGUGAGGAAGAACGCCUGGUGGUUAAUACCCAUCAGGAAAGACAUCACUCACAGAAGAAGCACCGGCUAACUCCGUGCCAGCAGCCGCGGUAAUACGGAGGGUGCGAGCGUUAAUCGGAAUUACUGGGCGUAAAGCGCGCGUAGGUGGCUUGAUAAGCCGGUUGUGAAAGCCCCGGGCUCAACCUGGGAACGGCAUCCGGAACUGUCAAGCUAGAGUGCAGGAGAGGAAGGUAGAAUUCCCGGUGUAGCGGUGAAAUGCGUAGAGAUCGGGAGGAAUACCAGUGGCGAAGGCGGCCUUCUGGACUGACACUGACACUGAGGUGCGAAAGCGUGGGUAGCAAACAGGAUUAGAUACCCCAGUAGUG